rnacentral:ribozyme from 13 species
UUCUGUAAUUCUCUCUCUUUUUCAUUGUUUUCAUUCACUCUUUCUUUCUCCUCUUUCUUUAUAUAAUAGGCUCGGUUAUGAGUUGGGCGGCCCUAAAAAAGAAGCCAACAUCUCAGCAGGCAUUCUCACUAGUUUGUGGUUCAUUUAUGUUAUUUUAUCGGCACUCGAAGCGUAUGGAUACAUUGGGUGAGGUCUUGUGAUGUGACACUCACCUUUUAGAUUCACACAAAUACACAAAUAUAG